GUCCUACGGGACGCAGCAGUGGGGGAUAUUGCACAAUGGGGGGAACCCUGAUGCAGCGACGCCGCGUGGGUGAAGGAGUAUUUCGGUAUGUAAAGCCCUAUCGGCAGGGAAGAAGCAAGACGGUACCUGACUAAGAAGCCCCGGCUAACUACGUGCCAGCAGCCGCGGUAAUACGUAGGGGGCGAGCGUUAUCCGGAUUCACUGGGUGUAAAGGGAGCGUAGACGGCCAUGCAAGCCAGAGGUGAAAGCCCGGGGCCCAAACCCGGGACUGCCCUUGGGACGGUGCGGCUAGAGUGCGGGAGGGG
rnacentral:rRNA from 1 species